UCUCUCCAGAUUCCUUACCCAUCAGAUCUAAACAUUGGUCUGGGUGUCUAUAAAAGUAAGAAAUGUAAAACUGAAACCGACGUGGGUUCUUUAACAAAC
rnacentral:snoRNA from 1 species